GAUGAACGCUAGCGGCAGGCCUAACACAUGCAAGUCGAGGGGUAGCAGGAUUAAGCUUGCUUAAUUGCUGACGACCGGCGCACGGGUGCGUAACGCGUAUGCAACCUACCUUAUACUGGGGUAUAGCCCGGAGAAAUUCGGAUUAAUCCCCCAUAGUACUAAUGAAUCGCAUGGUUUAUUAGUUAAAGCAUUGCGGUAUAAGAUGGGCAUGCGUCCUAUUAGCUAGAUGGUGAGGUAACGGCUCACCAUGGCUACGAUAGGUAGGGGCCUGAGAGGGUGGUCCCCCAAACUGGUACUGAGACACGGACCAGACUCCUACGGGAGGCAGCAGUGAGGAAUAUUGGUCAAUGGGCGCAAGCCUGAACCAGCCAUGCCGCGUGCAGGAAGAAUGCCCUAUGGGUUGUAAACUGCUUUUAUUUGGGAAUAAACCUCUUUACGUGUAGAGAGCUGAAGGUACCAAAUGAAUAAGCACCGGCUAACUCCGUGCCAGCAGCCGCGGUAA
rnacentral:rRNA from 1 species